UACGAAGGGGGCUAGCGUUGUUCGGAAUUACUGGGCGUAAAGCGCACGUAGGCGGAUAUUUAAGUCAGGGGUGAAAUCCCAGAGCUCAACUCUGGAACUGCCUUUGAUACUGGGUAUCUAGAGUAUGGAAGAGGUGAGUGGAAUUCCGAGUGUAGAGGUGAAAUUCGUAGAUAUUCGGAGGAACACCAGUGGCGAAGGCGCUCUACUGGGCCAUUACUGACGCUGAUGGACGAAAGCUAGGGGAGCGAAAGGG
rnacentral:rRNA from 1 species